ACGACCCUGUUCUGUCCGAAGUCUGACGCACCGCGUCAGGUAUUAAUGUAGGCAGAGUGGGGUCUU
rnacentral:sRNA from 12 species